rnacentral:lncRNA from 1 species
UGGGAAGAUCAUCUUCCAUUAUUGACGGACAUAUUCUGGGCUUUUUCUUUUGCCAUUGCUCUUUCAAGGUUUGUUUGGUCUCCUACCUAGCAUGCCAAUCUGUUGCAGUCAAUACCCAAGUGCGUCUGACUCCGAUAAAGAGCGGCCUACAAAAUAAGUCUACUGAUCGAAAUUUUAUCCGAUGGGGACCCUCCAAUACCUAAGUUAGUGGAG